CACGGAAUGAUUCGAAUGCGACAUCCUGCUCCCUGAAAAGCAACCAAAGCGCCGUGAAAGUUCUGAUCGGACGAGUUCUCACCGGAAGGCAGGUCCAACACGCGAGUAAUUUCUCGAAGGCGAGGAGAAGAGUCGAAAGAAGGUAAGAGAACAAGGCGGUAGGUCCAGAGAAGGCGGCGGAAAGGAAAGGAGAAGAGGACACACGCGGAGAUGAUCCUCGAGUGCACCGAGGGAAAGAAGCAACGAAAACAGUGAAGAAAGGACAGAGGGGAAAGAGGAUGCAACGAGGACGCUCCUACACCAUGAAGAAUCAGGUGCACACCAAUAUAGGGCCUCUUCAUGACGGAGUGUACGCGACUUUCAGAGGCUUUACUUGCCCUUGGCUGUUGCCAAGUGCAUUGGCACGACGACGACGCAGCAUCUCCGCGGACCUCUCGUGGCUCUUUUUCUUGUUGCAUACCCCACCGUGGCGACCGUCGGCGGACAGAGGGAGAGAAAGAGAGCGCUGCCUCCGCUACGUGUAGGCGUACGUGUUGUGCAGGGCCGUGCCGUUAUGAAUUCAAACCUUCAAGCUUUAGAUGCACCCAAGAAGAACCAUCUUGAUCGUUACUGGUGCGGAAGUGAUGACCUUGGAGCGUUUUAAGUCGAAAUUGGUAUUUAGGUUAGGUUUCCGUUGGACAAAAUUAAAUUGCAUAGGUUUAGGACAUUGUUAUUAUUGAUGGCAAUAAUAGGUCAAUAGGUCUCAUAGCACAGGCUCAUGGUGACAUCUGGUGGUCAAUAGAGGAAACGCUUGAUGUGUAUAUUUACUCGGGAAAGUUACAAGGAACCGUUACGCGAUCGUCAAUUCAAACGUCUCCUCUGCCAAAUACGUGGACAGACCUGCCCAUGAUGGGUGAAGGGGUGUAACGGAUCUUCCCGAACUUUCGCGAAAUCUGGACUGGUUGGCCAUCCGGUGAAAAGCAGUGGCCAGCUAUGACAUCCCAUCGAAGUCCGGUCCCAAGUUGCUCGGCGUUGCUUACUAGCUGCUUCAACAGACCGUCCUGAAACCGUCCAUUUAAAUGGAACAUAUAUUACACAUAGGUAGGAGCAAUGUAACGCUGUAAGGUGGUAACUUAAAACUUCACAUGCAAUGCAAGAUAUUUUAACAAACAUUACCCUGUCUUAAAACAGGUGCGUGUGAAGAAGACCAUUGACUUGCUGUGCUAAAUUCAUGUUAAUAAUUUUACUCGUGCAAUGUAUACUUCCGAUUUAAACAUUCGAGAAAGGCAUCAUUUUUAGUUAUGUUAAUUUUUGGAGGAUAUCUUUUAAUUUAAUAUCUGCAGUAUAAUUUUAUUUUUUUUUUAAUUGAAAGUUCCAAUUUUUUUGCAAAUUAAUCAGAUACGUUCUUGUGAAAAAUAUUAUGCUAAAAGUAAAAAAAAAUGAUGUACAUAUGAAGAUGAAGCUUAAUUGCAACAUUAACCUUUUAUGAUAUGGAUGGAAUUAUAAUUAGAAACGAAUAUGGAGAAGUAUAAAAGUUGCAGUCUUUUUUGCAGGUUUGUUUGGCACGUUUUUAUGGAAGAAAUUAAACUAGAAAUACGAAGAAAAAAACGAAACUCAUAUUGAGAUGAAGCUUAAUACUUUAGUACUAUAACAUUUACUAUAUGGAUGUGGUUGUAAUUAAAAAGUAAUGUAGAAAUGAUUCUAUCGUACGAAAUUAUAAAAUGAUGCAGAUAUUUCAAAUUUCAAAUACCGAGGAUUACACGAUACCAUAGAGAUACUGUAGAUUCAAGAAGAGAAUAGAAGAAGAAAUAGGGAAUAAAAUAUUCCAAAUUUUAAGAUGGAUGUAUGAGAAUUUUCACUUGGCAAUUGCAUCAGAUUAAAGAAGAGAAUAAGAAGAGAGAGAAUGAAAAAAGUCAUGUAACAAAUGGGAUCGAUAGGCCUAUGUGAUGUUUCCCACGGGAAACCAUACGGCGCUGCCCGUUCUUUAUAGCCGCGCAUAUGACUAUGGGGUGGUCGAGGGCAUCUGCCCGCGAACGUAACUCGUUGUAGAAGGUACGAAGGGUGGACCUUUUUUCGAGGCCUAUGCUCAUUGUAUCCUCCCCUUUCGCGUUACAUCCGAUCAAAGUCACGGUAUAAUGACGCGAUCACGUGUGCAUUCUCUCAGCUAUCAAGGUGCGUCACAGAGAAACAGGGGAAAGGAAAAUAGCGUGGAACAUUUUUCUUAUCACGGUGACCAAUGAACUUUGGUCCAGUUCAAUUUCUCUAAAUAGUUUCACGAAAAUUCUUUUAGGGGGAAUCAAAUUUUUAGGGGGAGAUUACAAAUUUUUAUUAUUUUUUAAUUUUCUCUAGACUGAACAAAUUCGCAACGUUUAAAUUAGCAGUCAUAUUUAUAAUUUUAGAAGUAAACAAAAUCACUAAUUCUUUCUGCUAUUUUUUUUUUUGACAGUGUUUACAACAAUGAAAAAGUUUGCAACAUUUGAGUUAGAGAUGCGUGUAUUGUGUAUACAUAAUUAUAAAAGUAAAUAAAAAAUUCAAAUUUAAAUGUUUCAGAAUAUGUAA